rnacentral:hammerhead_ribozyme from 1 species
CUCGCUGACGAGUCCCAAAGAGGACGAAACAGCUGUCCAG